AAUUAUUUUAAUAAAAAUAUAUACUUCCCCGAAGAGAAAAACAAAACACGCCUUUCCAUUCCCAAAUUUCAGAAUCCAUUCCAAUAUUCAAGAUUCAAAAAACACAAUAUGCGAUUUCUUCCCAAAAUCGAUUCUUCCGUUCUUCUUCUACUUAAAAUUGAUUCUCAAAACGCAAUUGAGAAACGUGAUUCUUUUCAUUCCGAUCUGUUGUUUCUUCUGGCAAAGAACCCUAAUUCGCUAUGUUCCGUUGAUUAUUGUCGCAAACUCAUAAAUUGAUUCUUCUUCCUAAACUUACGAAACCUAGUCCAUUCAUGGACCUGAGAAAGAUGGGGAAACACGAUUCAUUCAAAGAAAUCGACGAACCCUAGUCUCAUUCAAAAAACAUGAUUCCUUCUCUACUCUUUGUCUCGGCAAAACUCUAGCGACUUAUCCGCAAUCCAUGGUGCUCAUCCGUAGUCAUCGUGGUUGCUCAAUCUCUAAUAUGUCGUCGUAGUUACCAAGGUCUAUAUAUUCUUGUUUGAUCCCUUUCUCUAGCGGUUCCUUUUUGUUACAUCCGGAGUUGAUGCGUUUUCUUAUUCGCUAUUAUGUGUUUGGUACUUACUGCUUUGUGUUUUUUCUGGGUUUCUAGUUUGUGACCACAAAUUGUUAUCAUUGCUCAAUACUUUUAUCAUUUAUUUGUUGCUCACCAAGUGUUUGACAUAAAUACUCAGACAAACUAUAGUCUGCUGAUGUGCUUUAGUAUGAGUUUGUGUUGAUCAUUGUAUGAUAUGACUCUAGUCCCUUGAUUGCAUCUAUAAUGUUCUCAUGGUUAACCAAUUAAUCCAACUAGAGUACACAUUGUCUCUGUGUUAGAUGUAUUGGAGCAAACAUCAAUUGUGCUCUUCCUCUCGUCUAAAUGUGUGCCGAUACUUCUCUUUGGUCAAAUUUGAUUCUUCUCUUCUACCAGGUAAUAGAAGGAAAUGACAGCUAUAAAGAAGAACUAGUAUUGGAGAAAAGUGGCAGAGUUAAUCAGAAGAAAACAGGAGGAAUUAUAAGUUGCAGUCCUCUUGCUGGGCACUAAAGAGAAAAUAUGUGAAGUCAUUUCAUUUAUUUCUUGAUUACAUCAUCUCUUUUUAGUCACUUUCAUUUGUUUGUCUUAUUCCCAAUUUUUCAAAUUAUUUUUACAGUACAUAUUCAUUUUAAAUCCAAUUCAAAGAAUGACUUAUGAGAUGGUUGUUCAUCAUCUCUAUUGAUAAUUUUGACACCUCUAAAUAUGUUUUGUUCAGUUAGACAAAGUGCUAUGAUAUUUUUAUUUUUCAGUUUUUUUUCUUAUUCCUUGCAUGCUAAAUCUAAAUUAGUUAAUUUGUUUCUUGUAUUUUUCAAUCAAUGAAUUAAUUAAAGUUUUUCUAUUGUAUAUGAAGAGAUGUGAUGUAGCAUUGCAAUUACAUGUCUCCGUAGCUAGCUGAACAUGAAAGAAACAAUGUGAAAUUCUCUUUAUUCUGUUGAAGCUAUAGACAAACUUUGCCUGCAUCCAUUUGAGUUACUAAUUAAUUUUGUUGUUCAUUCCUUGCACAUUUUGCUCUUUUAUAAGUAUAAUCAUAAAAUCAGGUUCUAUGUGCAAAAGGUCUGUUCUCGAAUUAGCUUCAAUAGUUCCUCCCAAAUUCCAAUAAUCAUUUCAUUUUCGGAUUAAUUAUAUUAUAUAGUACUUAUAUUGUAAUUCUUUUUAUCUUGGAUCAGGCUGACCCGAAAAGGUCGAUAUUUUUGGCUUAUGGGGGCUUAUUUCUAGUUACAUGUAUACAAGAAAUUUGGAAGGUAGAGAGGACGACAAAAUACUACUUUAUAAUAUGUUGUAGUGUCGUAUCUUAGUGAAGUUAAUCUUAGUUUAUGAUGUAUUCUUAUGUUUUAGUUAAGAAAUCAUAGUAAUAAUGUAUUGUUCUUUAGGAUAUUUAAUGACUAUGUACAUGUUCAAUAUACUAGUAUAACUUGUAUUGUUAUAUAACAGAAA